GACGAACCGAGCGAACGUUUGUUCGGAAUCACUGGGCUUAAAGGGCGCGUAGGCGGGCUGUCAAGUCUGGGGUGAAAUCCCGCGGCUCAACCUGGAACUGCCUUAGAUACUGACGGCCUCAGGAGGUAGGGGCGAGCGGAACUGUGAGUGGAGCGGUGAAAUGCGUUGAUAUUCACAGGAACUCCGGUGGCGAAGGCGCUCGUGGACCUUUCUGACGCUGAGGCGCGAAAGCUAGGGGAGCAAACGGG
rnacentral:rRNA from 1 species